UGCGAUCAUACCAGCACUAAUGCACCGGAUCCCAUCAGAACUCCGAAGUUAAGCGUGCUUGGGCGAGAGUAGUACUAGGAUGGGUGACCUCCUGGGAAGUCCUCGUGUUGCA
rnacentral:rRNA from 2 species